rnacentral:rRNA from 1 species
UGUCGUAAGGGAAAAUAAUGAUAAUACCUUACUAUGAGUGUCGUCCAAAUCUGGUGCCAGAAAACUCGGUAAGACCAGAGACGCAAACGUUAAUCAUCAUAAACAGGCGUAAAGGGUUUGUAGGCAGCUUUCACCAAACUAUGAUUACAAAAUAAAGUAGUUUAAUUGAAAGCUAGAAUCAAAAAGAGGUUAUAGUGUAUAACGCCUAGAGGAGGGCUGAUAUCCAUAGAUCCUAGGCAGAAUACUCAGGGCGAAGGCCACUCUCCACUACUGAUUGACGCUGAGAAACGAAGGUUAGGGUAGGAAAUAGGAUUAGAUACCCCGGUACUCCUUUCUGUAAACGAUGAAUGGUAGUCAUUAGUUUUAUAACUAGAGACGAAGUUAACACAAUAACCAUUCCGCCUUGUGAGUACUACUGCAAAGUAGAAAACAAAAAAAUUAGUCGGUCUCGAAGCAAACGGAGUGAAGCA